AAUUUAGUUCAUUAUAUGAAGACCGGAUGGUGAACGAUGAACUGAAAUCAUUCAUGAAGAUUGCGUAUUGUUUAUGCAAAACGAUAGUGAAACUAUCGUUAAUAAUAUUAUCAAAUUUAUGUCAAACUCCAUAAUAAUGCAUAUAUUUUAACAAAGUUUUAUGUCUUUUGUUUAAAACAUUAAAGAAGCAUUAAAUUUCACGAAAAAUAUCUACUAUUGAAGACAAUAGCGUGAGAAAAUGGUACAUGCAACUCAAGUAACAAAACGCAAUUAACGAAUUUAACCAAGGGCUAUUUGGACUAUUUGGUAAUCUCCCUGUUGUCUGUGUAGGCUAGUGUCAAAAUAACGGGGUAUCCUAUUAGUCUGUGGUGAAACAUAGCAUAUUAAUAACCUGUGGAUUAGAAAUUUAAAUUUUAUAAACAAAACAAAGUUUUUAUUUUUCAGGUUUUAAAGAGAAUUUAGAAAUUGAGCAAAGUUUUACUAAAUUAUAGUGAUCUUAGGAGCAAAGUUUACUUCGUUUGUGUUAUUGUUAAUCAAAAAUAUAAAAGUAAACAAAAAAGAAAAACUACCUCUAUCUAAUUUUGUCGAUGUCCAUUUCUUAAGAAGUUUCUCAUUAAAACAACCCUUAACUCAGGCAAGGCAGGGCUAAGGUGGUUAGCGUAACUACAAGUGGUUAACUUACAGUUAGCCAACUGAAGAACAAUCAACAAUGCCCGAUUAAUAAGUGAUCGCGCUGCUUGUCUACUACUUGCUGCUUGUCCCUGCACUAGUUAUAGCAGUAAUUUCUUUGUUUGGAAGUAUUUAGCACAUCCGGGCUGCGCAAAAGGAGAGAGUGGGCAUUUCCUCUGUCUCUUAGAAAAGUCCGCAUGUUAUUUUUAUCCCAGUGUUAAUCUCACUAAAUUGAUUAUUAUGAACAGACCAUUAUGAUGAACCACUGAUAUUGACUCAGAGACAUGAAGAUGAGUGCUUUGACAACAAGACUGACUAGCUGAGCCAGCUUAAGAAUUAUGUGGUGUGUGUGUGUGUCUAAUUCCAGGAGCUCUCUAUGUCAGCCAUCCAUCUAUAUUCUUACUCAUUUUUGUUAAUUAUAAAAUAAAUUUGAUUAUUUA